rnacentral:rRNA from 1 species
AGUGCUUGCACUAAAUGAAACUAGAUACGAGCGAGCGGCGGACGGGUGAGUAACACGUGGGUAACCUGCCCAAGAGACUGGGAUAACACCUGGAAACAGAUGCUAAUACCGGAUAACAACACUAGACGCAUGUCUAGAGUUUGAAAGAUGGUUCUGCUAUCACUCUUGGAUGGACCUGCGGUGCAUUAGCUAGUUGGUAAGGUAACGGCUUACCAAGGCAAUGAUGCAUAGCCGAGUUGAGAGACUGAUCGGCCACAUUGGGACUGAGACACGGCCCAAACUCCUACGGGAGGCAGCAGUAGGGAAUCUUCCACAAUGGACGAAAGUCUGAUGGAGCAACGCCGCGUGAGUGAAGAAGGGUUUCGGCUCGUAAAGCUCUGUUGGUAGUGAAGAAAGAUAGAGGUAGUAACUGGCCUUUAUUUGACGGUAAUUACUUAGAAAGUCACGGCUAACUACGUGCCAGCAGCCGCGGUAAUACGUAGGUGGCAAGCGUUGUCCGGAUUUAUUGGGCGUAAAGCGAGUGCAGGCGGUUCAAUAAGUCUGAUGUGAAAGCCUUCGGCUCAACCGGAGAAUUGCAUCAGAAACUGUUGAACUUGAGUGCAGAAGAGGAAAGUGGAACUCCAUGUGUAGCGGUGGAAUGCGUA